AUGACUCACACAAAAAUGCUGGCAGCUCCCUCCCUCCUCCCAUCUCUGUGCCCAAGUUUGGAGACACAGUCAAGGAAGGUAAAUGAGUACGCCAAAUUCAAACAGCAGGUCUCCCAUCUGUGUUUAAGAAAGUUUGUAGAACAUUACAAAAAGCUUCCAGUUAUUUGCCAACCGGCAUAGCUACAUACCAUGCCGGCUGGGGGACUCUGAAUGCUUCCAGAUUGCUUCCAGAUUGUGGCUCCAGGACCGAAAAUGGAAUGUAAAUUAGAAUAAAGGAUCAACGUGCUCAGCGAAGGAGAAUUCC
rnacentral:lncRNA from 1 species